rfam:Schistosoma curassoni strain Dakar, Senegal genome assembly, scaffold: SCTD_scaffold0003575
AUUUAGCUGAUGAGUUCCAAAUAGGACAAAAUGCAUGUCCUGAAU